UACGGAGGGUGCAAGCGUUAUCCGGGUUCACUGGGCUUAAAGGGUGCGUAGGCGGGUUGGUAAGUCCGUGGUGAAAUCCCCAAGCUUAACUUGGGAACUGCCGUGGAUACUAUCAAUCUUGAAUAUCGUGGAGGUAAGCGGAAUAUGUCAUGUAGCGGUGAAAUGCUUAGAUAUGACAUAGAACACCAAUUGCGUAGGCAGCUUACUACACGAUCAUUGACGCUGAGGCACGAAAGCGUGGGGAGCAAACAGG
rnacentral:rRNA from 1 species